CUUAAAGAUUUCGAGUGUCUUCGCUAUGAAAAUGGCUCGAUGUAACUUACUUUGCUUACUGUAAAUCCUGUAAAACGGCGUUGGUGGCGGAAUCAAAACAUUUUAAGCGCCAGACCUUGCUUAAACAUGGCGAAAGUGCCAAAAACACUAGUAGUGUCAUGACAAAUGUGUUCAUUAUUGAUGGAGACACCGACCUGUCUGUCAAAGAGUGUUUGAUAGUGUAUGUGCGCAUGCGCUGGUGAAUGGACAUCCGACAAACAUCCUUGUGGUCCAUGUUGAUGUGGAACACGACAAUGUUGAUGAGUGCCAUGUAGCGACGGAUCAAACGGACACUCAUGUCAAGCUUGAUGAGGACACAGUCAAAGCUUUAAAAGACCUUGUGAUUAAGUCUUCAGUGUCUGAAUGGCAAGAAGAAGUGACCCUCCACUUAAACGUGACAUUUAAACUGCUCUGUGUUUUGGUUCAGCCAUUUGUAGGUUUAUCUCGAGUAAGUUCAAAUGCACUUCUGCAUUUGUCCAGUAACUUUUUGUUUAGAGAAUUACAUCAUUAUGAUUAUAUAAUUAUUCAAUGGUUGCAUAUUCAUAGUGUACUUUUCAUAUUGAUGUAUUAAUGUUCCACAAUUUGAUAAAAGUAGCUCAUUGCAUUUCACUGAUCUUUGUUUUAUAUUGUAAAAUCAUUUCAAUAGCAGUAAAUACAUACUUAGUUGUUUCUUUAACAUUUAAUUAGUUGUUAAUGAUGGAAGAAACCGGUUCGUAUGUAUGAAUACAGAAUAGGUAUCAUUUUAGAAUGAGUUAAAACAUGUUUUGGUGGCAAACAUGCAGGUAAAAUAGUACAUCUAUAACAUUCUAAUAGUAAACUUGACUGUAAUUCAAAUAUCACAUACAGUACAUUAGAAAUGAUUUAUUUUAUGUAUACAAAUUUGUGGGCAAUAUAUUAUUAUUUCAUUUUGUAUGCUAUAUUAUUUAUGUAAUAUUAUUAUAUCUGAAAUUAUUAAAUUACAUUAUUUAUAAAUGUUUAAAAGGUGGGUUCAAAUGUGCUUCAAGUUGUAACUGAAUACAAUUUUAGAAAAUAGCACAGUUGAGUACACUUAGAUUGUCUUAAGUUUGUCUUAACAAGUACUAAAUACUACUUUUUAGUAUAUUAAGCACAAUUUACUGCACGAAA